AGCACUAAUUAAACUUAAAUUACAAAAACUUAAAUGUGGGAAUUAAUCAAUGUACAUUAAGAUUAAAAUGUAUCACAACCCAUAAUUCUUCUUGUGAAAUUACAUGUCAACACUAAAAAUUAUGAAAUCAGUGCAGUAAUAAGCCAGCUGCCUCGAAGUCUUCGCUCUCGUGUCCUUAGCACUAAAAAGCGUGUAGUUUUUCAAGUUCUUGAAAAUGGUACGUUUACAAGUUCUUUGCAUAGGCUAAACAUACCAUUUUCCAUUUUAAUUACACUUUGAAGCAUUGUAUCCAUCUUCAUUUUCAUGUCUGUAUCGUCCAUGUCCAUGUCUGGGGCAAGAACAGUCAGUUGCCUGUGGAUCUCUAGAAACCUGCAUAUCUUCUCAGCAAACUCAAGGUCACCAUUGGAAACUCGACCUAUUGCCAACCUCAUUAGCUCUCCUGUUAAGUCAACAAGCUAAACCAUGAAAAAACUGAAUUACUUUCAACAUAUAUAAACAAACAGAAGAUGAUAAAUGAAUGAAAAAACUAAAUCAGUAUUCUUGUCUUUAGAUAGUUCCAGAGUAAAAUCUGAUGUAGUAGAUUUUGAUAAUAACACAUUUAUAUUAAAAAUAUUAAUUUUUCCAAAUCAUUGACAUAGACCAUUAUAUCGGAGUAUGUAAUAUGACAUAUUGAGAUGGCAGUGAUGUGUAUAGCGGUCGUUUGUCGAAUGUGGAUGGAAACUAAAUGCGUACAAGACCUAAGAACACACACCUUUUAAAGAUCCCGACUAGCAUAGCUUUUAUCACGAGUUAAAGAUGCAAAUGGUGCCAGCUUUUCUUUGGUGCUAUCAUCAAUAGAACUGCAGUUAACAAAAAUAAACAUAUAACAUUCACAUGGAACAUACACAUACAUUGAAAUCUAAGAUUCAGUCUGUUAUUAUUGCAUUCAACCUCAGACCAUGAGCAGCAAUCACUACUCCUUUCUCAUCUAUGCAUCCAAGAUUUAGU
rnacentral:lncRNA from 1 species